UGGGGAAUUUUGGACAAUGGGGGAAACCCUGAUCCAGCCAUCCCGCGUGUGCGAUGAAGGCCUUCGGGUUGUAAAGCACUUUUUGGCAGGAAAGAAACGUCGCGGGUUAAUACCCCGCGGAACUGACGGUACCUGCAGAAUAAGCACCGGCUAACUACGUGCCAGCAGCCGCGGUAAUACGUAGGGUGCAAGCGUUAAUCGGAAUUACUGGGCGUAAAGCGUGCGCAGGCGGUUCGGAAAGAAAGAUGUGAAAUCCCAGAGCUUAACUUUGGAACUGCAUUUUUAACUACCGGGCUAGAGUGUGUCAGAGGGAGGUGGAAUUCCGCGUGUAGCAGUGAAAUGCGUAGAUAUGCGGAGGAACACCGAUGGCGAAGGCAGCCUCCUGGGAUAACACUGACGCUCAUGCACGAAAGCGUGGGGAGCAAACAGGAUUAGAUACCCUGGUAGUCCACGCCCUAAACGAUGUCAACUAGCUGUUGGGGUCUUCGGACCUUGGUAGCGCAGCUAACGCGUGAAGUUGACCGCCUGGGGAGUACGGUCGCAAGAUUAAAAACUC
rnacentral:rRNA from 1 species